GGCGGCCAGGGCGGCGCUCAGACUGGGCCGGGAGCUCCGGCUGCGCGGGCUCUCGGCGGCCGCGGCGACAGCAUCCUCCACCGCCUCCUCUCUUUCUUUUCUUCCCCUCCGCUUCUUUCUUUUCUUUCUCCUUCUCCUCCUUAUUUUCCUGCCCUGUCCCACCCCCACCCACCCCCCUGCUCCUUCUCCAGAGGACCUUAGGUCCUCAAGUCCCUGAGCGGUGGCAGCGGCGACUGCGGGUGCAUCGUUUCCGCGCCCAGAUUUUAUUGAUCUGAUCCAACCUGUCUUGUGACUGCUAGCUGGAAUUAAGAUCCUUCAGAUUGUUGUCUCUAAUCGAGGAAACAUUGAUUGGAAACUACUCAUUCAGAAAAUUAAAAGAAAGAAACCAGAACAUAUUAUCAACCUUUGAGAACACAAUAUAACGAACUUUACCAUUUUACCACUUCUUUGAACAGGAAACAUCCCAGGACAUUGAAGAAUGGCAGAUGAUCGGAAAGAUGAAGCAAAGGCGCCUCACUGGACCUCAGCUCAACUUACAGAGGCAUCCGCCCAACCACACCCACCGGAGAUCAAGGAUCAAGGUGGGGCAGGGGAAGGACUUGUCAGAAGCGCCAAUGGAUUCCCCUACAGAGAGGAUGAAGAGGGCGCCUUUGGAGAACAUGGGUCCCAGGGCACCUACUCAAAUACCAAAGAGAACGGAAUCAACGGAGAACUGACCUCAACUGACAGAGAAACAGCAGAGGAGGUGUCUGCAAGGAUAGUUCAAGUAGUCACGGCGGAAGCUGUAGCAGUCCUGAAAGGUGAACAAGAGAAAGAAGCUCAGCCUAAAGAUCAACCUCCUGCUCUGCCUUUAGGUUUACUUACAGCCUCGAAGAUGGAGUUUCAUGAUCAACAAGAAUUGACUCCCUCUCCAGCCGAGCCACUAGACAAGAAGGAAAAGGAACCAGAGACAGAAAGUAAGCCUGGUGAAGACCUUAAGCAUGCUGCCUUAGUUUCUGAGCUGGAAACAACUAAAACUUCCCCUGAUAAAAAGGACAUACAAGGCACAGAAGAAGAAAAAGCACCUCCCACUCUGUUUGGGCACACUCUUGGUGCCAGCCUAGAAGAUACGAAACCCAAGACAGAACCAAGCCUAGUGGUACCUGAUAUUGGCCUUCCUGCAGAGCCCACAGCUGCAAAAGAGCAGAAGGACUGGUUCAUCCAAAUGCCAACGGAAGCCAAAAAGGACGAGUGGGGUUUAGUUGCUCCUGUAUCUCCUGGCCCUCUAACACCCAUGAAGGAAAAAGAUGUACUUGAGGAUAUCCCAAAAUGGGAAGGGAAACAAUUUGAUUCUCCCAUGCCGAGUCCCUUUCAGGGUGGAAGCUUCACUCUUCCUUUUGACAUCUCAAAGCAUGAAAUAGUUGCAGCAGCAGCAUCCUUUGCUCCCGCCCUGUUACAGCCAGAUGACCAAAAAUCUCUGGAAGAAACUGGUAGCCCAGCAACUGCCAAAGAUAGUUCUAAAGUUGAAGAGCCCCAGAAGGAUCAACCUGACAAAAUAGCAGAAGCACCAGCCUCAGAGGCAGUUGCUGCACCCAAAGAUGCUCACGUUUCAAUUGUGGAAGAGUGUGUCCCAGAGAAAGUUUCAGGAGAAGAGAAAGGGAUGAUAAAGGAAGAGAGUGUGCAGAUAAAAGAGACUCCCACCCUCAGCGAACAGGAAUCUACACUUGCUGAAAAGGAACCUCACCUAAAGCUUGAAGAAAAACCAACCAUUUCUGACAAAGAAGCCAUGCCAAAAGAGAGUGAACCCCCAAAAUUGAUAGAUGAAGAAACAAAUAUAAUUCAACCUUCCACCGAACACACUUACUCCAAAAAAGAAGAGAAGGGCCAGGAGCCUCCCACAGAUAUAUUAAAACAGGACUCAUUCCCUGUAAGUUUGGAGCAAGCAGUUACUGAUUCAGCCAUGACCACUCAGACCCUGGAAAAAGUCAUGACUGAACCAACUGCACUAAGUGAAAAGAUUGCCACCCAGGAGCUCUUUGAAGAAAAAGUUGCUGACAAAGAUCAUAAGGUAGAAGGAGUUGGAGUUGUAACAUCAGCUGAACUUGACAUGCCAUUUUAUGAAGACAAGUCAGGAAUGUCCAAGUACUUUGAAACAUCCGCCUUGAAAGAAGAAGUGACCAAAAGCAUCCAGCCAGGCAGUGAUUACUAUGAACUAAGUGACACAAGAGAAAGUGUCCAAGAGGCUUUUGAUACUGUGUCUCCCAUGCAUAAAGAUGGCGACAAGGCACUUCCAGAAGAAGAACCCCAGCCCAGUGCUCCGGCACAAGAAGCAGGGUAUAGCACUCUCGCACAGAGUCAUCCAUCUGACUUACCAGAAGAACCCAGUUCUCCCCAAGAAAGAAUGUUCACUAUUGAUCCAAAAGUGUAUGGAGAGAAAAGGGAUCUCCACAGUAAGAAUAAGGAUGAUCUGACACUAAGCAGGAGUUUAGGACUUGGUGGUAGGUCUGCAAUAGAACAAAGAAGCAUGUCCAUCAAUUUGCCCAUGUCUUGCCUGGAUUCCAUAGCCCUUGGGUUUAACUUCGGUCGAGGGCAUGAUCUUUCCCCCCUGGCUUCUGACAUUCUAACCAAUACUAGUGGAAGUAUGGAUGAAGGAGAUGAUUACCUUCCAGCCACAACACCUGCCGUGGACAAAGCCCCUUGCUUCCCAACCGAAAGCAAAGAAGAAAAAGAACAGGCAAAGGAAGAAAAAGAUACUGGAGAGGAAAAUGCCCGAGUCGAGACAUCAUGUGAGUCGCCUUUCCUAGCCAAAGAUUAUUACAAAAAUGGUACUGUCAUGGCUCCUGACUUGCCUGAAAUGCUAGACCUGGCAGGCACACGGUCAAGGUUAGCUUCCGUGAGUGCAGACACGGAUGUUGCCAGGAGAAAAUCAGUCCCAUCAGAGACUGUGGUGGAGGAGAGUAGCACUGGCUUGCCCCCUGUCACUGAUGAAAACCACAUCAUCGUUAAAACUGACAGUCAACUCGAAGACCUGGGCUACUGUGUGUUCAAUAAAUACACAGUCCCCCUCCCGUCACCUGUUCAAGACAGUGAGAAUUUAUCUGGGGAGAGUGGUUCCUUUUAUGAAGGCACUGAUGAUAAAGCACGAAGAGAUUUGGCCACCGAUCUUUCAUUAAUUGAAGUCAAGCUGGCAGCUGCCGGAAGAGUAAAAGAUGAAGUCAGUGCUGAGAAGGAAGCAUCCCCACCUAUCUCUGGUGACAAAUCAGGACUGAGUAGGGAGUUUGAUCAGGAGAAGAAAGCCAGUGAUAAGCUGGAUACUGUCCUAGAGAAAAGUGAAGAACAUGCUGAUUCAAAAGAGCACGCCAAGGAAACAGAAGAGGCUGGUGAUGAAGUUGAAACUCUUGGAUUAGGAGUGACCCAGGAGCAAGCUUCAGCCAGAGAACUGACAGUUGCUAAAGAUGCAUCACCUGUCAUGGCUGAGAAAGCAGAGAAAGGUCUUAGUUCAGUGCCAGAGGUAGCUGAGGUAGAACCGUCCAAAAAAGCUGAACCAGAACUGGAUUUGGCUGUGAAGAAAGCUGAACAAGGUCAGUUAGAUAUUAAAAUCAGUGACUUUGGACAGAUGGCCUCAGGGCUACACGUAGAUGCUGGAGAGGCAGCAGAGCUUAAACUUGAGGCUACCCAGGACCUCGCCCCCUCAUCCACAGCCCCUCCGGAGGUAGAUGCAUUUAUGGGUGUUGAGUCCAGCCACUUGAAAGACGGCACCAAAGUUAGUGAAACAGAAGUCAAGGAGAAGGUGGCUAAGCCUGACUUGGUGCACCAGGAGGCUGUGGACAAGGAAGAAUCCUAUGAGUCCAGCGGUGAGCAUGAAAGCCUCACCAUGGAGUCCUUGAAAGCCGAUGAGGGCAAGAAGGAAACUUCCCCAGAAUCUUCUCUAAUUCAAGACGAGAUUGCCAUCAAAUUGUCUGUGGAAAUACCCUGUGCACCCGUUGUUUCAGAGGCUGAUGUAGCCGCAGAUGAGAGAGCUGAUGUCCAGAUGGAAUUUAUUCAGCCACCAAAAGAAGAAAGCCAAGAGACCCCGGAUAUUUCCAUCACACCCUCUGAUGUUACCGAGCCGUUGCCUGAAGCUGCCAGAGCUGAACCAGCGGAGGCUCAGAGCGAGGAAGAAGAGAUCGAAGCCCAGGGAGAAUAUGACAAGUUGCUCUUCCGCUCAGACACCCUUCAGAUUACCGACCUGGGUGCCCCAGGCGUCAGGGAGGAGUUUGUGGAGACCUGUCCUGGUGAGCACAAAGGAGUGAUUGAGUCUGUCGUAACCAUCGAGGACGACUUCAUCACCGUCGUGCAAACCACAACUGAUGAAGGGGAAUCAGGGUCCCACAGUGUGCGUUUUGCAGCCCUCGAGCAGCCCGAGGUGGAAAGGAGACCGUCACCCCAUGCUGAAGAAGAACUUGAAGUAGAAGAGGCAGCUGAAGCCCAGGCUGAACCCAAGGACGGUUCCCCAGAGGCUCCGGCUUCCCCUGAGAGAGAAGAGGUUGGACUCUCAGAAUAUAAGACAGAAACCUAUGAGGAUUACAAAGAUGAAACCACCAUUGAUGACUCCAUCAUGGAUGCUGACAGCCUCUGGGUGGACACUCAAGAUGAUGAUAGAAGCAUCAUGACAGAACAGUUAGAAACUAUCCCUAAAGAGGAGAAAGCUGAAAAGGAAGCUCGGAGAUCAUCUCUUGAGAAACAUAGAAAAGAAAAGCCUUUUAAAACCGGGAGAGGCAGAAUUUCCACUCCUGAAAGAAAAAUAGCUAAAAAGGAACCUAGCACAGUCUCCAGAGAUGAAGUGAGAAGGAAAAAAGCAGUUUAUAAGAAGGCUGAACUUGCUAAAAAAACAGAAGUUCAGGCCCACUCUCCCUCCAGGAAAUUCAUUUUAAAACCUGCUAUCAAAUAUACUAGACCAACUCAUCUCUCCUGUGUUAAGCGGAAAACGACAGCAGCAGGUGCUGAAUCAGCUCAGGCUCCCAGUGUAUUUAAACAGGCAAAGGACAAAGUCUCUGAUGGAGUUACCAAGAGCCCAGAGAAGCGCUCUUCUCUGCCGAGACCUUCCUCCAUCCUUCCUCCUCGCCGAGGUGUCUCAGGAGACAGAGAUGAGAACUCCUUCUCUCUCAACAGUUCUAUCUCUUCUGCGCGGCGGACCACUCGGUCAGAGCCAAUUCGCAGAGCAGGAAAAAGUGGCACUUCCACACCCACUACCCCUGGAUCAACCGCCAUCACUCCUGGCACCCCACCAAGCUAUUCUUCACGCACCCCGGGCACUCCUGGAACCCCCAGCUACCCCAGGACCCCUCACACACCAGGAACCCCCAAGUCGGCCAUCUUGGUUCCCAGUGAGAAGAAAGUCGCCAUUAUACGCACGCCUCCGAAAUCUCCUGCUACUCCCAAACAGCUUCGGCUUAUCAACCAACCACUGCCAGACCUGAAGAAUGUCAAAUCCAAAAUUGGAUCCACAGACAACAUCAAAUACCAGCCUAAAGGGGGCCAGGUACAGAUUGUCACCAAGAAGAUAGACCUAAGCCAUGUGACAUCCAAAUGUGGCUCUCUGAAGAACAUCCGCCACAGGCCAGGUGGUGGGCGUGUGAAAAUUGAAAGUGUGAAGCUAGAUUUCAAAGAAAAGGCCCAAGCUAAAGUCGGUUCGCUUGACAAUGCUCACCACGUUCCCGGAGGUGGUAAUGUCAAGAUUGACAGCCAAAAGUUGAACUUCAGAGAGCAUGCUAAGGCCCGUGUGGACCAUGGGGCUGAGAUCAUUACACAGUCCCCAGGCAGAUCCAGCGUGGCUUCCCCCCGACGACUCAGCAACGUCUCCUCUUCUGGAAGCAUCAACCUGCUUGAAUCCCCCCAGCUUGCCACCCUGGCCGAGGAUGUCACUGCCGCACUCGCUAAACAGGGCUUGUGAAUAUCUCUCAUUUAGUAUUGAUGUCAUACUAUUUAGGCAUGAGCUCUGGCAGGAGUGGGCUCUGAGCAGGUGUUAUAUUCAUUCUUUACAAACCGUAAAAUAAAUAAUCUCAUUCCCAAACUGUAGUAAUUGUUACAAUUUUAUAAAAAAAAAUAGUAUAUGCAGAAAUUGAUUUGAUUUCCAUUUGCAACAGGAAGAUACUGGCUUUACAUGAGUACAAUUGGACAAUUUUUUUUUCGCUCUGCUGUUUUGCAUGGAGUAUCAUUAUUUUAAAAAUUGCAUUUCUACCUUUCAUGUGCCUGAAGGCUAUCUACUACAUUCUGAAAGGCCUUGUUAAAAUCCAAGCUGCUCAUUUCACUAUUCUGUUGCUGGGUGAAAAGAUAAAAAGUUGCCCCUUGUAACUUAUUACAGGUUAAAUUAAAUCAAGGAGUCAUUGCAGGAAGGGAAGAGCAUGUAAGAAAUGGUUUUUUUUUAAAGCGUUAUUUUGUAUAAAUGGGAAGAAAGAUUCAAUUAAGUUAUUAACGUUUGGGACCUGGAUAAUUAUAUCAGAGUAUAAGUCAAUCCAAUAAAUUAUUUAAUUAAUUAAAAAAUAGUUUCGAAGCAUUUGAGCUGUGGUUGAGGAAGUGAAAGUGCAUCUCUUAGGAAUGAAGCACUUUCAUUAGGAUGGACUUGUGUCUGGUUAGGAUGUCAGUUGAUCAGCUAGAUUUGUGUCCACACUACCAGUUUCACACCCUUUCCAUCUGUUUGAUACAGUAUUAUAGAUAUAAAUAUAUAUAUAUAUUUCUCUGUGGCCAUUUGUGAUACUUCCUCAUACUUGAAUAUUAUACUUCCUUAUUCACAGUAUCUGUGUCUCCUGCACCCUUUGGUGUUGCAAUUUUAGGUAUGUGAAAGUAGAUGUUAGCAGGGUUCUCUCCCUAUU
ensembl:lncRNA microtubule associated protein 2